CCCCUAGAUGUUCUGGGCCGCACGCGCGCUACACUGAACAGUUCAACAAGUCUUAACCUUGGCCGAUAGGUCUGGGUAAUCUUUGAACGCUGUUCGUGAUUGGGGUAGACCUUUGCAAUUAUGGGUCUUCAACGAGGAAUUCCUAGUAAACGCAAGUCAUCAGCUUGCAUUGAUUACGUCCCUGCCCUUUGUACACACCGCCCGUCGCACCUACCGAUUGAAUGGUCCGGUGAAAUCUCGGGACGGCGGCUUGGUCGCUUGCGUCCGACUGCUGAAACUUGAUUAAACCAUNUNAUUUAUNGGAAGGUGAANUCGUANCA
rnacentral:rRNA from 1 species